AUUCCAGCUCCAAUAGCGUAUAUUAAAGUUGUUGCGGUUAAAAAGCUCGUAGUUGGAGUUCUGCCAGGUGACGCUCGUCCGCCCAAGUGGUGUGUACAGGGCGUGCAUCUGGCCCUUUCAAGGGGAACGUGUCUGCUCUUUAUUGAGUGGUGCGAGAUCCUUGACUUUUACUUUGAGGAAAUCAGAGUGUUCCAAGCAGGCUCUCGUCGUGUAUAGCUCAGCAUGGAAUAAUAGCAUUGGACUUCGUUUCUAAGCUGCUGGUUGCAAGAAGCGAGGUAAUGAUGAAGAGGGAUAGUUGGGGGCAUUCGUAUUUAACUGUCAGAGGUGAAAUUCUUAGAUUGGCGGAAGACUGGCUGACGCGAAAGCAGUUGUCAAGCAUGUUUUCAUCA
rnacentral:rRNA from 1 species